GCGUCCCUUCUGGGACGCCACCGGCGGACGGCUCAGUAACACGUCGGUAACCUACCCUCGGGAGGGGGAUAACCCCGGGAAACUGGGGCUAAUCCCCCAUAGGCCUGGGGUACUGGAAGGUCCCCAGGCCGAAAGGGGACCGUAAGGUCCCGCCCGAGGAUGGGCCGGCGGCCGAUUAGGUAGUUGGUGGGGUAACGGCCCACCAAGCCGAAGAUCGGUACGGGCCGUGAGAGCGGGAGCCCGGAGAUGGACACUGAGACACGGGUCCAGGCCCUACGGGGCGCAGCAGGCGCGAAACCUCCGCAAUGCGGGAAACCGCGACGGGGGGACCCCCAGUGCCGUGCCUCUGGCACGGCUUUUCCGGAGUGUAAAAAGCUCCGGGAAUAAGGGCUGGGCAAGGCCGGUGGCAGCCGCCGCGGUAAUACCGGCGGCCCGAGUGGUGGCCACUAUUAUUGGGCCUAAAGCGGCCGUAGCCGGGCCCGUAAGUCCCUGGCGAAAUCCCACGGCUCAACCGUGGGGCUCGCUGGGGAUACUGCGGGCCUUGGGACCGGGAGAGGCCGGGGGUACCCCCGGGGUAGGGGUGAAAUCCUAUAAUCCCGGGGGGACCGCCAGUGGCGAAGGCGCCCGGCUGGAACGGGUCCGACGGUGAGGGCCGAAGGCCAGGGGAGCGAACCGGAUUAGAUACCCGGGUAGUCCUGGCUGUAAAGGAUGCGGGCUAGGUGUCGGGCGAGCUUCGAGCUCGCCCGGUGCCGUAGGGAAGCCGUUAAGCCCGCCGCCUGGGGAGUACGGCCGCAAGGCUGAAACUUAAAGGAAUUGGCGGGGGAGCACUACAAGGGGUGGAGCGUGCGGUUUAAUUGGAUUCAACGCCGGGAACCUCACCGGGGGCGACGGCAGGAUGAAGGCCAGGCUGAAGGUCUUGCCGGACGCGCCGAGAGGAGGUGCAUGGCCGCCGUCAGCUCGUACCGUGAGGCGUCCACUUAAGUGUGGUAACGAGCGAGACCCGCGCCCCCAGUUGCCAGUCCCUCCCGCUGGGAGGGAGGCACUCUGGGGGGACUGCCGGCGAUAAGCCGGAGGAAGGGGCGGGCGACGGUAGGUCAGUAUGCCCCGAAACCCCCGGGCUACACGCGCGCUACAAUGGGCGGGACAAUGGGACCCGACCCCGAAAGGGGAAGGGAAUCCCCUAAACCCGCCCUCAGUUCGGAUCGCGGGCUGCAACUCGCCCGCGUGAAGCUGGAAUCCCUAGUACCCGCGCGUCAUCAUCGCGCGGCGAAUACGUCCCUGCUCCUUGCACACACCGCCCGUCACUCCACCCGAGCGGGGCCCGGGUGAGGCCCGAUCUCCUUCGGGAGGUCGGGUCGAGCCUGGGCUCCGUGAGGGGGGAGAAGUCGUAACAAGGUAGCCGUAGGGGAACCUACGGCUCGAUCACCUCCU
rnacentral:rRNA from 1 species